GAUGAAGAACGCAGCGAAAUGCGAUAAGUAAUGUGAAUUGCAGAAUUCAGUGAAUCAUCGAAUCUUUGAACGCACAUUGCGCCCGCCAGUAUUCUGGCGGGCAUGCCUGUUCGAGCGUCAUUUCAACCCUCAAGACCCCUUCGGGGGACUUGGUGUUGGGGACCGGCACCGGGGCCUGCCUGCUUGUCUUGCAGCGCCCUCGCCGCCCCCGAAAUGAAUUGGCGGCCUCGUCGCGGCCUCCCCUGCGUAGUAGCACAACCUCGCAACGGGAACGUGACGGCGGCCACUGCCGUAAAACAACCCAAUUUUAUUAGAGUUGACCUCGAAUCAGGUAGGAAUACCCGCUGAACUUAAGCAUAUCAAUAAGCGGAGGA
rnacentral:misc_RNA from 1 species